rnacentral:rRNA from 1 species
UGGAACCUACGGGGGGCAGCAGUAGGGAAUCUUCGGCAAUGGACGAAGGUCUGACCGAGCAACGCCGCGUGAGUGAAGAAGGUUUUCGGAUCGUAAAACUCUGUUGGUAGAGAAGAACGUUGGUGAGAGUGGAAAGCUCAUCAAGUGACGGUAACUACCCAGAAAGGGACGGCUAACUACGUGCCAGCAGCCGCGGGAAUACGUAGGUCCCGAGCGUUGUCCGGCUGUAUUGGGCGUAAAGCGAGCGCAGGUGG